GGCGGUUUUUUUUAAAGGGGGUGGGAAGAAUAAACAUGCAAGUCGAACGCUUCUUUUUCCACCGGAGCUUGCUCCACCGGAAAAAGAAGAGUGGCGAACGGGUGAGUAACACGUGGGUAACCUGCCCAUCAGAAGGGGAUAACACUUGGAAACAGGUGCUAAUACCGUAUAACAAUCGAAACCGCAUGGAUUUGAUUUGAAAGGCGCUUUCGGGUGUCGCUGAUGGAUGGACCCGCGGUGCAUUAGCUAGUUGGUGAGGUAACGGCUCACCAAGGCCACGAUGCAUAGCCGACCUGAGAGGGUGAUCGGCCACAUUGGGACUGAGACACGGCCCAAACUCCUACGGGAGGCAGCAGUAGGGAAUCUUCGGCAAUGGACGAAAGUCUGACCGAGCAACGCCGCGUGAGUGAAGAAGGUUUUCGGAUCGUAAAACUCUGUUGUUAGAGAAGAACAAGGAUGAGAGUAACUGUUCAUCCCUUGACGGUAUCUAACCAGAAAGCCACGGCUAACUACGUGCCAGCAGCCGCGGUAAUACGUAGGUGGCAAGCGUUGUCCGGAUUUAUUGGGCGUAAAGCGAGCGCAGGCGGUUUCUUAAAUCUGAUGUGAAAGCCCCCGGCUCAACCGGGGAGGGUCAUUGGAAACUGGGAGACUUGAGUGCAGAAGAGGAGAGUGGAAUUCCAUGUGGAGCGGUGAAAUGCGUAGAUAUAUGGAGGAACACCAUUGGCGAACGAGGCUCUCUGGUCUGUAAGUGACGCUGAGGCUCGAAAGCAUGCGGGAGCAAACAGGAUUAGAUACCCUGGUGGUCCACUCCGUGCACAAUGAGUGCUGUCUGUUGGAGGGGUUGCGUCCCCUCAUUGCUGGGGCUAACGGAGUAAUCACUCCGCCCCGCGGGGGGGAUCCCCCAGGGUGAGAGAAAAACCAAGUUGGGGGUGGGGGGGGCCCACAGAUAGAGGGAGGGAGGUGGGUGGCUUAUAUAUAGAAAGGAGGGGUGACCAGGACUAGGAGGUCCUUUGACCACUCUAGAGAUAGAGCUUCCCCUUCGGGGGCAAAGUGACAGGUGGUGCAUGGUUGUCGUCAGCUCGUGUCGUGAGAUGUUGGGUUAAGUCCCGCAACGAGCGCAACCCUUAUUGUUAGUUGCCAUCAUUUAGUUGGGCACUCUAGCAAGACUGCCGGUGACAAACCGGAGGAAGGUGGGGAUGACGUCAAAUCAUCAUGCCCCUUAUGACCUGGGCUACACACGUGCUACAAUGGGAAGUACAACGAGUUGCGAAGUCGCGAGGCUAAGCUAAUCUCUUAAAGCUUCUCUCAGUUCGGAUUGCAGGCUGCAACUCGCCUGCAUGAAGCCGGAAUCGCUAGUAAUCGCGGAUCAGCACGCCGCGGUGAAUACGUUCCCGGGCCUUGUACACACCGCCCGUCACACCACGAGAGUUUGUAACACCCGUAAGUCGCUGGAGGUAACCUUUUGGAAGCCAGCCUCCUUUAUUUUCCCCCC
rnacentral:rRNA from 1 species